AAAUGCGAUAAGUAAUGUGAAUUGCAGAAUUCAGUGAAUCAUCGAAUCUUUGAACGCACCUUGCGCUCCUUGGUUUUCCUUGGAGCAUGCCUGUUUGAGUAUCAUGAAAUCUUCAAAGUAAAUCUUUUGUUAACUCAAUUGGUUUCUACUUUGGUAUUGGAGGUCUUUGCAGCUUCACACCUGCUCCUCUUUGUUCAUUAGCUGGAUCUCAGUGUUAUGCUUGGUUCCACUCGGCGUGAUAAGUUAUCUAUCGCUGAGGACACUGUAAAAGGUGGCCAAGGUAAAUGCAGAUGAACCGCUUCUAAUAGUCCAUUGACUUGGACAAUACUUUUAUGAUCUGAUCUCAAAUCAGGUAGGACUACCCGCUGAACUUAAGC
rnacentral:misc_RNA from 1 species